AGAACGAACGCUGGCGGCAGGCUUAACACAUGCAAGUCGAACGCCCCGCAAGGGGAGUGGCAGACGGGUGAGUAACGCGUGGGAAUCUACCUGGUUCUACGGAAUAACUGAGGGAAACUUCAGCUAAUACCGUAUACGCCCCAAGGGGGAAAGAUUUAUCGGUGCCAGAUGAGCCCGCGUUGGAUUAGCUAGUUGGUAGGGUAAUGGCCUACCAAGGCGACGAUCCAUAGCUGGUCUGAGAGGAUGAUCAGCCACACUGGGACUGAGACACGGCCCAGACUCCUACGGGAGGCAGCAGUGGGGAAUAUUGGACAAUGGGCGCAAGCCUGAUCCAGCCAUGCCGCGUGGAUGAUGAAGGCCUUAGGGUUGUAAGUCCUUUUAACGGGGAAGAUAAUGACGGUACCGUAGAAUAAGCCCGGCUAACUUCGUGCCAGCAGCCGC
rnacentral:rRNA from 1 species